UACGUAGGGUGCGAGCGUUGUCCGGAAUUAUUGGGCGUAAAGAGCUCGUAGGCGGUGUGUCACGUCGGCCGUGAAAACCUGCAGCUUAACUGUGGGCGUGCGGUCGAUACGGGCAUCACUGGAGUUCGGCAGGGGAGACUGGAAUUCCUGGUGUAGCGGUGAAAUGCGCAGAUAUCAGGAGGAACACCGGUGGCGAAGGCGGCAUCCUGGACCAACACUGACACUGAGGAGCGAAAGCCAGGGGAGCAAACGGG
rnacentral:rRNA from 1 species